rnacentral:rRNA from 2 species
AGUCGAGCGAACUGAUUAGAAGCUUGCUUCUAUGACGUUAGCGGCGGACGGGUGAGUAACACGUGGGCAACCUGCCUGUAAGACUGGGAUAACUUCGGGAAACCGAAGCUAAUACCGGAUAGGAUCUUCUCCUUCAUGGGAGAUGAUUGAAAGAUGGUUUCGGCUAUCACUUACAGAUGGGCCCGCGGUGCAUUAGCUAGUUGGUGAGGUAACGGCUCACCAAGGCAACGAUGCAUAGCCGACCUGAGAGGGUGAUCGGCCACACUGGGACUGAGACACGGCCCAGACUCCUACGGGAGGCAGCAGUAGGGAAUCUUCCGCAAUGGACGAAAGUCUGACGGAGCAACGCCGCGUGAGUGAUGAAGGCUUUCGGGUCGUAAAACUCUGUUGUUAGGGAAGAACAAGUACAAGAGUAACUGCUUGUACCUUGACGGUACCUAACCAGAAAGCCACGGCUAACUACGUGCCAGCAGCCGCGGUAAUAC